AAACAAAUCUAAAAGACUCAGCAGUUUAUUAGCUUAAUGCCACAUCUUUUAUCAUUGUAAAUGGGACUGAUAACCCUUCUCGUCUGCCUUUUCUGUUGCUUAAAUUAGAUCUAUCAACAUCUACUCCAGCCAAUGAGGACAAAACAACCUUGCCAACAAAAUGUGAAACUGGAGGUACAGCCACUUUAGGAAAGCAUACCAUCCUUUUGUGUGGAAUUCUCUGAGUCCAUACAGAGACACUACUGAGAUUGACCAUCUCCUCACAACGGUAAGUCUGCCUCUCUUCUGUUAAUACAGCGUGAUAGUGAUCAGAUGGACUCUGUGGAACAUCUACACUUUACCCUUUGUUUAAUAGAAUUCAUCUUUCAAAAGGAAAAUUAAUUAAAGAGCUAGAAAAUGUCCAAUAAUUUGAACUUUGUACAUUUUUAUUUUAGUCAUGUUAUAAACUGAAUUAUUUUGUGGCAUAUUUUAUAUAUGUUUUUGGAUCUAUACGUACAGCCCUGAAACCAAUCAAUAAAGCCCCAAUAAUAUAAAUGACUUGAAUGAAC
ensembl:lncRNA